UGUGGGGUUGAUGAGGUCUUCGAUCAAUACUCAUCAGGUCCAGUUUGCUUUAGCUGGUCUCUGGACAAGGACCCGCCACAUCGCUACCGGUGCUGCUGCUGGCCCAUGUAGACACACAGCUUCCCUCUUCAGGAGGAAUGGUGAGAAAGUUCCAGUGAAUCAAUGAAAGGCCGCCAUCCUCGUUUUAGUAUUCUGAAAGUGUAUUUCUCGAAUGAGUGAUUGAAUGGUGUCAUCUUUGAUUAUGGUAAAGAGCACUUUUUAGAUUGGAGAGGCCUCCAAAUUUCGAUCACAUAGUGGCAAUAUGGAAGUUAAGGGGACAUUUGAUUAUUUUUUUCUGUCAAAGACUCAAAGUCAGAGAACUGAUUUCGGGGGGGGGGGUUUGGCCUCUCUUUUGCUUCCUCUUUUUAACUUAGUCGUUGUUUGAAAAGAUAACUCCAGAGAAACAAGUGAUGAUAAUGAAUGGGGAGUUUUCUAAAUUACACAGAACCCAAGAAGAGAUCACAAAGUCAUUUUUUUACACUGGAUUCAGAGGGUUAUCUUUCAAAGGGUACAGCUUUAUCUUCAAUUUAUAGAAUUUUUGAUCAAAGGACAUUGCAAGAUUUAUAGACUACACUCAAAAGUGUGAGGAAAAAAUAUAUACAUAUAGGAAAAUGCUGGAAGAAAAUGCUGCACUGUUAACUGUUUAGAUACAGCUGCAUAGUAUUAUUAAUAUCUUUUUAUACUUUUCUAUAUUUAACAUAAUGGGCAUAUAGCAGCUUAUUAAAAAAAGUUUUUAAAAAUAUUUACAAAAUGUCAUCAGAAGUGCAAGUGGUCAUUAAUAUCAGAGCAUGGGAAAAGUUACUCUUCACGGAAACAAUCUUAUAAACGACCAGCCAUAUGCCAUUGUGUUGGUGUUUAAAAUUAUUAAAAUUAGUAACUCCAAUUUUUGAAGAAAAAGUUACAUGUGUGUCUCAUUUCCUUUUUUUCUGGAAUUGGUCUCAAAUGACUAUGCACAAGUUACCCCUAUAUCUGUUGCAAAGGACAGAAUAAAAGGUCAUGUUUAAAAAUCAUCCAGUUCUCUAACUCUGCAACUCGGAUUUCCUUAAUUGGAUUGGAAUUGUAGUCAUGGAUGGGAUCUGGAAGAAGGUGUCAUAAAGGAUUUGUGGAAGAUUGACUUUAUAGUGUUAUGUACACACUAUAAUUAUCCUCUCUUGUGUAUUUAAUGUACCAGUUUAUUUAAUAGAUAGUUCUAGUGGAAGAUUUAGUCCUGGAUAUUGGUGUCUUUUUUUGGAUAUUGAUGUUUUGAAAUGAGUAGGAAGCCCCCUCCCCUCAUAGACUAGCUAUAAAUUCAAUCCGUAUAGUUCUACAUCUGAGCCUCAUACAGUUUUACUCCAUGGCCCAUUGUGGGUGGCGUGGGGAAGCCUCAGAUUUCUAGACUAUUGAAUUGUGUUCAUAUGAAUAUUGUUCUAUUUGAUGAAGUCAUGAUUUCUGCCCAGAUCCAAGCUUCCAGAGAGCAGGAAGACAAGUUGUCUACUUCCCCCACCAAGCUGCAUGUUUUACUUUUGUGGUCUCUGUGGUCAUUCCAGCCCAAGCCUCGUAACAAUUUGACUGGGCCAAUGAUCAAAGCCAGUUUUUGUACUCUCAACACAUCCCAACAAUAGGAGGUAGGAGGGACCACACAGAUGCUUCCAAAAUGUUGAACUGCGAGGAGGAAUAGAGAGAGUUUCUCUAACAUGCUGAUAUCGAUAUGGUCUGCAGACUAUUUUGGUUCCUAGGCUUAUGAUACCUCUUUUAACUCAAGAAAAUAAGGAAGCGAUCUUUCCUGAGAUGCCAUGGUUCCCUGUGGCCCUUCUGGAGACGUCCACACGACCCAGAGGCAGGGGUGUCUUAGCGAAGCGGGGGCC